GUGACUUGUGGGCUUCCCUUUGUCAUCCUUUGCCUAGGGCUCUGAGCAGGGCAAGGACAGCAAAGGGCUGCUCAGUUGUCACCUC
rnacentral:pre_miRNA from 1 species